rnacentral:snRNA from 1 species
AUCGCUUCUCAGCCUUUUGGCUAAGAUCAAGUGUAGUAUCAGAUAACUUUUUUAUGCACAUAGGUGCCUGUCUAAUGUAUCUUCUUUAUUUUCCCUUCUUUUGUGAACAAUUGUUUGCAUACUCUACAUUUUCUGCCUCCUGAUUUUGCUUUUUCACUUAAUUCAUGUUGGGGAUGUAGAAACUGCU